CAUAGAUAACGAAAAGUAUAUGUAUAUGAUAUGCAUAUAGUACUGAUUAUCGACGUAUAUAGUAUAUGUCGAUGGUCUUCUCUAUGCCACUGCAUUAUCUAUGGCCACUGCUGUCUUAUGUGGGUGUUGGUACUUGAUCGUUUUCAGCAGUUUUCAAUCAUUUUCACUAUAUUUUUAGUUCAUGUUCGCGUAUGGUGCUAGUGGAAUCGGUAGAAUCAGAAAAUAGCGAUAAAAUGUGCAAAAUUGAGAUGUUUAAUAUUAUGUGAUUGAUUUUAAUGCAAACGAAAAAGUAUAAACAAAAUAUUUUAUUUAAAGACCAUCACGUUUUAUAGUGCGCAGAAACCGAAUAGCCACUUUUGUUUUGGUUGUUAAUAGCAUAUUCCACAUAAAAUUUAAAAUGGCUUCAUUUUUGCAUAAAAUGCGUUUGUUACUAUGGAAAAAUUGGUUACUUCGGAAGAGACAUCCAUUUGUUUCAUUGUGCGAAUUUGUUAUUCCCGUUUUAACUUUUGUAUUAAUUGCUUAUACACGCUCAAAAAUACAAACAUUUGGAAAGCAAUAUGUUAACACAUCGACUUACAUGGAACCAAUUUCUACAUCAGAUUUUUAUAACAGUAAAUUUAAGCUCACUGAUGGCAAGCUUCUUUUUACUCCUAAAACAAAAUUUACAUCAGAUCUCAUGGAAGAAGUUCAGUUAAAACUUAAUGUUCGUAAUAGUGAUCUCCUGGGCUUUAACUCUGAAUUAGAUCUGUUAAUCUACUAUGAAAAUACAGCUAAAAAUUAUACAAUUAUGGCUGUUGUCUUCAAUUUAGCAGAAGCAAAUGAAAUUCCAACAUUUUUAAAUUAUAAAAUAAGACCUCAUGAAGAGUCAGUGACGUGGUACACAGACCAGCUCUAUUAUAACUUCCCACAAUAUAUUCCUGGAACAGGUUCAGAAGUGUACAUAGAAAAGGGAUUUAUGGCAUUGCAAUUAGCCAUAGAAACAUCCUAUAUUGAAAUGGUAUCUGGUGCAAAAUUACCAAAUAUUUUUUUACAAGAAUUUCCAAUUCCUCCACAUUUAAAUGAUAUAGGCAUAAAUGAUAUGUUUAAUUAUAUUCUGCCAAUAGUAACUGUUUUUAGUUUUGUUACGUUGUGUUUGUCAGUUUUAAAGAGAGUUGUGGAAGAAAAGAACACAGGAAUUAAGGAGUUAAUAAAAAUCUUGGGUCUAAAAUCAUGGAUGCAUUGGAUGGGAUGGUUCAUUCACGCGUUCGUUCCAAGUUUGUUAGCCGUGUGCUGUAUAACAUUUUUGAUGAAAGUUAAAAUGAUGGAUACACCAUAUCCUCCGAUUGAGCAUUGCAGUCCAUGGAUAUUAUUGGUUUUUUUACUGCUUUAUUGUGUUGCUGGAAUUGCCUUUAGUUUUGCAUUUAGUACGCUAUUCAGCAAACCAACUAUUGCCAUGAUUUCUGGUAUUUUGAUCUGGCUCGUUCCUUACUUUGUAUUUAAGUCGAUUGUCAGCCAGUAUCCUAUGAUGAAGUGGUCAUAUAAAAUUAUCAUAUCUUUAUUUCCUAAUAUGGCGUUAGAGUUUGGAUUCAAAGCAAUUUCUGUAUAUGAAGGCCGAGAAAUUGGGCUUCAUUGGAAUAAUUUUAUGAAAGCGGGUUCUGAAGGUGUAGAAGACAUGUCAAUGUUGAGUGUCAUGAUCAUGCUUAUUAUUGAUAUUGUAUUCUACGUGGUAUUGGCGUUAUAUAUUGAUAACAUAAAUCCAGGACCUUAUGGUCUUGCAAAACCUUAUUAUUAUCCCUUUUUGAAUUUGAAGAAAUUCGUAUCACGUUUUAAUAGAGAAAUUAAGGUCGAUGACGAUAGCAAACUUAUUAACGAAGAUACUAACGAAAACAUUGAGCCUGCAGACUAUUUAAAAUCGGGUAUAAAGAUUAGAAAGUUGCAUAAAAAAUAUGGAACCAAAAAAGCUGUCUGUGGUCUUUCGAUGGAUAUUUAUCAAGAUCAAAUUACAGCUCUUUUAGGACAUAAUGGGGCUGGUAAAACUACCACACUGUCCAUAUUAACCGGAAUGAUUCAGUUAACAAGUGGUGAAAUAGAAAUUAAUGGUACAAUUAUUGGUCCAAAUUCAGGGAACAAAGAUUUGGAUGAAAUUCGCAAUUUGUUAGGCUUAUGUCCUCAACAAAAUUUACAUUUUAAAGAUCUCACUGUUUUUGAACAUCUUCUAUUUUUUGGAAUGUUACGAGGUAGCGAUCCCAAGGAUGUACGAAUAGAAGCCGAAGAUCUUUUGCAAAAAUUAAAUUUAAACAACAAAAGGAAUUAUAUGCCUUCGUCUCUUUCAGGUGGAAUGAAGAGAAAGUUGUCGCUCGGUAUGGCACUUAUCGGACAUUCAAAGAUCUUAAUUUUGGACGAACCGACGUCAGGUUUAGAUCCGGAGGCUCGAAGGGAAAUUUGGGACAUGCUCUUGAAUUUUAGAGGAUCUCGUACUAUAAUCAUUAGUACACAUUUCAUGGAAGAAGCUGAUGUACUCGGCGAUAGAAUUGCUAUAAUGGAUCAUGGACAGUUGGUUUGUUAUGGUACAUCCAUGUUUCUUAAGAAAAUUUAUGGAACGGGUUAUCAUUUGAAAGUAAGCGUUAAUUCAGAAACUGAAGACAGUAUGCGAGUCAAUAGAGAGUCGUUUUCUACAGUAGAGAAUAUUGUGAAAAGUUGCAUACCUAAGGCGGAAAUCGAGCAGAGAAGGGGAAAUUCUUGUAACAUACUAUUGCCCUUGGAGAACAAGCCAGAUUAUAGUAAGGUUCUCGAAAAGCUGGAAUUAAAUAAGAAAGAAUUGAACAUUUCGAACAUUAACUUGACUUAUACUACAUUGGAGGAAGUUUUCUUGAGAGUUGAAAAUAUAGCUGCAAAAGAAAGAGGAGAACGCAAGAGUGAAACUGGUAGUGAAAAUAUGAAAAACAUGAUUGACCCCAAGAAAACUGGAUUAGCAUUACACAUGCAAAGGUUCUUAAUAUUGAUGAAAAAGAGGUUUUUAGUGUCGAAAAAAAUGAGAAAGGUCACAAUUUUACAGAUAGUAUUGCCGCUGCUUUUGACAUUAACAACUGUAUAUUUUUCGAGCAAUAACAACGAACAUUUUAUAGAAAAAGAACCGUCAUUACUACUUGAUCUCAGUUUGUACGGUAAACCGUUUGUCUACUACAAUGCCCCGUCAUCUGGUGAUUUGUUGAAAGUUUCUCACUAUUACGAUCAAGUAGUUUCGAAGCAGAAUGGAAUUCCUUUACGUGUUGACAGUGUAUCAAAUGAGAUAAUCAACAAAGGAAUCGAAAAUAUUGUUUCAUACAAAACCCGUCUGGUUGUGGCUGCAGAAUUCAACGAAACCGGCAAUGAUUCGAUCUUGAACGCGAUGUAUUCAAAUACCGCUCUCCACGGCGCUCCCAUUUCGUUGAAUAUGCUAAUGAAUGCCUUGUUAAAGACCCUUAAGGAUCCAUCUUAUUCGAUUUCGGUUAAAAAUGACCCUCUUCCUGUCUUAGCUGCUACCAAAUCUCUUAAUCAACAGUCUUCGGCUGAAGUUGCCAUCCUUUGGUUAUUUCUCUUUCCUCUAGGUCUUCUUUUUGCAAUUAGCGGUUUUCUUCUUUUUCCGCAAAUGGAAAAUAUGACCUCUUCGAAACAAUUGCAGCUAAUGUGUGGCAUACGUCCAGAAUUUUAUUGGAGUACCACGUACCUAUUCGAUCUUAUUUUCUACUUUCUUGUGAUAUUAUUACAACUACUUGGAGUGGGAAUGAUGUGCGCUUUCGUAAAAUCAACUUUCAUAGGAGCCAACGAAGUAGACGCACUGGUGGCAAUCAUGGCUGCCUAUGGAGUAAGCGGUAUCCCGUUCUCUUACCUGUUCAGUUACAAAAAAAGUGCCGCUAGCGCUUUUGUUGCCUUUAUUAUAAGUAGCCUUUUUCUUGGUACUAUAUUGACUGUAAUUGUGCUGGUUUUGGAAUUAUCCGGUGCUGCUUAUUAUGAAAGAAUUGGUGAAGUUUUGAGGUAUAUAUUUCCAGUAUUGCCCCAAUUUGGAAUGACUUAUACUUCCGUCCGAUUCGCCAUCAAGGCUGUUUCUAAUUACAACUGGAUGUUAAAGUCAGAUGAUGAUAAGAAAAGAAAGUGCUAUUUUGACCAUAAUCCGUGUUGUGAUGGAGAAUAUACCAGUCAGUGUUUUACGUAUCGAUCAUAUUUGUACUCACCGAAAGAAGGUAUAAGCACAGAACUGAUGGUAAUGAUCGCAUCAAGUUUAGGGUACAUGGUGAUAUUGGCCAUUAUAGAAACGAAUUUUGGUAAAAAAGUGCAGGACUGGUUUUCUACAACUAUUUUGCAAAUGAUUCAUCCAGACAAGUCAGUUGAACAGUUAGACAGGGAAGUGAAAAACGAACACGAUAGAGUGCAUAAUACCCUUAAACGAGAAAAAUCUAUUAAACUAGACGUUACAGACACCGCUAGAGCAACUAGAAGCAAAGCAGGAACGAAACAAGAAAUCAUAUCACAAUCUAAGAUGUUGUAAUGGAGGUAAACUUUAAAGUUGAUGGAGCUUGGACAGUAUUAAAUUCGUUUUGAAACAUUGGACAGUGCUCAACUAAGUGCCUAUUCAUUUAAACUUGACCACGACGCAAAUGAAACUUGGACAGUCUCAUAUCUUCUAAGAAGCAGCGAACAGACCUGUACUAAGCCUUUAAUUGUUUAAACUUGAUCAUGAUGAGUUUGGUUCUUUAGGUACUGACAAAAAAGCAAAAAACUACACCGGCUGUUCUGUGCGUAAUCAGUAUGAUUUACUUCAAAUAUUUAUCUUUAGUGUGUCGAAAACUGGUUCUUCUUUGGUUGAAACAGUUUUCAAGCAUAAGUAAGUGAUAAUAUUAACAAUGACGUUAUUUUGAGGUACUUUUUGGUGUUCAGUGACUAAACCUGUGUAGGGAUUAGAAAAAUUGAAGCAUAAAUUAAUGUCGAUAACCUUGUUUAAGUUAAAAUUAGGUAUUGAUAUUGAUUUUUAUAUGAGUGUAUCAUGUUUUUUUUACCUUAUUUUUAUUUAUUAUGUGUAAUUCAAAGUUUUAAUGAGUGUUGUGUAUAUUAAUUUAAACGUUCCCUAUUUUUGAUGUAUGUGUGGGAGUACUCGGUAUAGCAAUAAACAAUUUCAAUGUGUAACAAUUAAAGUGCUUCGAUUGUGCCGACUUAGUUAAAUCGCGACACAGUGCGAAAACAUCUAUUGCCAUAAGAACAAUGUAAAUAGUUUUAGUAUAAAUAGCAUGUAAAUAAUUUACUAAAUUAGUCUAACACAACAUUGGAUGCUGCAAAAAUGUCAACCCUUGGAUGCUGCAAUAGUGUCAACCAUCGGAUGCUGCAAUAGUGUCAAAACUCAUCAUUGAUGCAGAAAUGUGUCCAACGUUUUUAUAAAAUCGGUUCUUAUCAGAACUACAAUUUCCGAUAGUCCUUAAUCGACUACAGUGGUGACCCCGACUAAAGAACGUAUGGACAAUAAUGAACUACAUUGGUGACCACUCUGGUUUCGUUUUUAGUAACGAAUAGACCUCAGUACACGAUUUAUUGAUGUUAAUCUUUGUAAUCAAAAUGGGAUUGCAAUACUGAGACGCUCAACUGUGCCUUUUCACUCGUCACAUUGUGACAUAGGUACAACAUAAUUGUAAAUUAAAUUAUCAUUUGGUCUGUUUGCGAAAGCGGGACUUUUAUGUCCUCGCUGGGGACAGCGAGACGGACAGUCUGAAAGUGGGACUGUCCCUCCCAAAGCGGGAGUAUGGUCACCUUAUACAUUCCCUCCAGACGGAUCUAAACAACAUGAGACGACACAUGGUGGAGAAAUUGAAGAACCAACCCCAUUCAAAUUCACGCAGUUUUUUACUCCGAAGACGUUCAAACCGCAAUAUUAGGGCAAAUGGUCAAGGGCAAGACCAACAUAUUCUAUCAUGACGGAUAACAACAGGAAAUCAACCAGAAAACCACGUAUGGUAACGAAAGUGCCGAAUUCAUGAAAAAGACAAAGGUUGGGCGUAACAAUUUGGUAACAUCAAAUAUAAGAGAUGUUAAGAUUAAGAAAUCAGUGAAUGCAUUUAAGUAAGUCAUAAAAAAGCAACACAAUGUGGACCGUGGAGUUGAUAAGAUUUUAAGCCGUCUGCCGAAAGUCUUACUCGUUGUGCUGGUAUUUUGGUUUACUGUAGUGUACAUAACUGCAGCUAGGAUACAUUUAAGGAAACUUUAAAAUCAUCCAAUGCCAGAAAGACUCUCCAGAUGUUUUGCUCGUGGACAAUUUGCAAAAGACAUUCGGGAGAAAGAAAGUUGUGAGAGGAAUCUCAUUCGGAG